rnacentral:rRNA from 1 species
GAGUUUGAUCGUGGCUCAGAUUGAACGCUGGCGGCAUGCCUUACACAUGCAAGUCGAACGGCAGCAUGAUCUAGCUUGCUAGAUUGAUGGCGAGUGGCGAACGGGUGAGUAAUACAUCGGAACGUGCCCUGUAGUGGGGGAUAACUAGUCGAAAGAUUAGCUAAUACCGCAUACGACCUGAGGGUGAAAGUGGGGGACCGCAAGGUCUCAUGCUAUAGGAGCGGCCGAUGUCUGAUUAGCUAGUUGGUGGGGUAAAGGCCCACCAAGGCGACGAUCAGUAGCUGGUCUGAGAGGACGAUCAGCCACACUGGGACUGAGACACGGCCCAGACUCCUACGGGAGGCAGCAGUGGGGAAUUUUGGACAAUGGGCGAGAGCCUGAUCCAGCAAUGCCGCGUGUGUGAAGAAGGCCUCGGUUGUAAG